rnacentral:rRNA from 1 species
GGAAUCUUCCACAAUGGACGCAAGUCUGAUGGAGCAACGCCGCGUGAGUGAAGAAGGUCUUCGGAUCGUAAAACUCUGUUGUUAGAGAAGAACACGAGUGAGAGUAACUGUUCAUUCGAUGACGGUAUCUAACCAGCAAGUCACGGCUAACUACGUGCCAAG